UUAAGCGACUAAGCGUACACGGUGGAUGCCCUGGCAGUCAGAGGCGAUGAAGGACGUGCUAAUCUGCGAUAAGCGUCGGUAAGGUGAUAUGAACCGUUAUAACCGGCGAUUUCCGAAUGGGGAAACCCAGUGUGUUUCGACACACUAUCAUUAACUGAAUCCAUAGGUUAAUGAGGCGAACCGGGGGAACUGAAACAUCUAAGUACCCCGAGGAAAAGAAAUCAACCGAGAUUCCCCCAGUAGCGGCGAGCGAACGGGGAGCAGCCCAGAGCCUGAAUCAGUGUGUGUGUUAGUGGAAGCGUCUGGAAAGGCGCGCGAUACAGGGUGACAGCCCCGUACACAAAAAUGCACAUGCUGUGAGCUCGAUGAGUAGGGCGGGACACGUGGUAUCCUGUCUGAAUAUGGGGGGACCAUCCUCCAAGGCUAAAUACUCCUGACUGACCGAUAGUGAACCAGUACCGUGAGGGAAAGGCGAAAAGAACCCCGGCGAGGGGAGUGAAAAAGAACCUGAAACCGUGUACGUACAAGCAGUGGGAGCACGCUUAGGCGUGUGACUGCGUACCUUUUGUAUAAUGGGUCAGCGACUUAUAUUCUGUAGCAAGGUUAACCGAAUAGGGGAGCCGAAGGGAAACCGAGUCUUAACUGGGCGUUAAGUUGCAGGGUAUAGACCCGAAACCCGGUGAUCUAGCCAUGGGCAGGUUGAAGGUUGGGUAACACUAACUGGAGGACCGAACCGACUAAUGUUGAAAAAUUAGCGGAUGACUUGUGGCUGGGGGUGAAAGGCCAAUCAAACCGGGAGAUAGCUGGUUCUCCCCGAAAGCUAUUUAGGUAGCGCCUCGUGAAUUCAUCUCCGGGGGUAGAGCACUGUUUCGGCAAGGGGGUCAUCCCGACUUACCAACCCGAUGCAAACUGCGAAUACCGGAGAAUGUUAUCACGGGAGACACACGGCGGGUGCUAACGUCCGUCGUGAAGAGGGAAACAACCCAGACCGCCAGCUAAGGUCCCAAAGUCAUGGUUAAGUGGGAAACGAUGUGGGAAGGCCCAGACAGCCAGGAUGUUGGCUUAGAAGCAGCCAUCAUUUAAAGAAAGCGUAAUAGCUCACUGGUCGAGUCGGCCUGCGCGGAAGAUGUAACGGGGCUAAACCAUGCACCGAAGCUGCGGCAGCGACACUAUGUGUUGUUGGGUAGGGGAGCGUUCUGUAAGCCUGUGAAGGUGUGCUGUGAGGCAUGCUGGAGGUAUCAGAAGUGCGAAUGCUGACAUAAGUAACGAUAAAGCGGGUGAAAAGCCCGCUCGCCGGAAGACCAAGGGUUCCUGUCCAACGUUAAUCGGGGCAGGGUGAGUCGACCCCUAAGGCGAGGCCGAAAGGCGUAGUCGAUGGGAAACAGGUUAAUAUUCCUGUACUUGGUGUUACUGCGAAGGGGGGACGGAGAAGGCUAUGUUGGCCGGGCGACGGUUGUCCCGGUUUAAGCGUGUAGGCUGGUUUUCCAGGCAAAUCCGGAAAAUCAAGGCUGAGGCGUGAUGACGAGGCACUACGGUGCUGAAGCAACAAAUGCCCUGCUUCCAGGAAAAGCCUCUAAGCAUCAGGUAACAUCAAAUCGUACCCCAAACCGACACAGGUGGUCAGGUAGAGAAUACCAAGGCGCUUGAGAGAACUCGGGUGAAGGAACUAGGCAAAAUGGUGCCGUAACUUCGGGAGAAGGCACGCUGAUAUGUAGGUGAAGCGACUUGCUCGUGGAGCUGAAAUCAGUCGAAGAUACCAGCUGGCUGCAACUGUUUAUUAAAAACACAGCACUGUGCAAACACGAAAGUGGACGUAUACGGUGUGACGCCUGCCCGGUGCCGGAAGGUUAAUUGAUGGGGUCAGCGCAAGCGAAGCUCUUGAUCGAAGCCCCGGUAAACGGCGGCCGUAACUAUAACGGUCCUAAGGUAGCGAAAUUCCUUGUCGGGUAAGUUCCGACCUGCACGAAUGGCGUAAUGAUGGCCAGGCUGUCUCCACCCGAGACUCAGUGAAAUUGAACUCGCUGUGAAGAUGCAGUGUACCCGCGGCAAGACGGAAAGACCCCGUGAACCUUUACUAUAGCUUGACACUGAACAUUGAGCCUUGAUGUGUAGGAUAGGUGGGAGGCUUUGAAGUGUGGACGCCAGUCUGCAUGGAGCCGACCUUGAAAUACCACCCUUUAAUGUUUGAUGUUCUAACGUGGACCCGUGAUCCGGGUUGCGGACAGUGUCUGGUGGGUAGUUUGACUGGGGCGGUCUCCUCCUAAAGAGUAACGGAGGAGCACGAAGGUUGGCUAAUCCUGGUCGGACAUCAGGAGGUUAGUGCAAUGGCAUAAGCCAGCUUGACUGCGAGCGUGACGGCGCGAGCAGGUGCGAAAGCAGGUCAUAGUGAUCCGGUGGUUCUGAAUGGAAGGGCCAUCGCUCAACGGAUAAAAGGUACUCCGGGGAUAACAGGCUGAUACCGCCCAAGAGUUCAUAUCGACGGCGGUGUUUGGCACCUCGAUGUCGGCUCAUCACAUCCUGGGGCUGAAGUAGGUCCCAAGGGUAUGGCUGUUCGCCAUUUAAAGUGGUACGCGAGCUGGGUUUAGAACGUCGUGAGACAGUUCGGUCCCUAUCUGCCGUGGGCGCUGGAGAACUGAGGGGGGCUGCUCCUAGUACGAGAGGACCGGAGUGGACGCAUCACUGGUGUUCGGGUUGUCAUGCCAAUGGCACUGCCCGGUAGCUAAAUGCGGAAGAGAUAAGUGCUGAAAGCAUCUAAGCACGAAACUUGCCCCGAGAUGAGUUCUCCCUGACCCUUUAAGGGUCCUGAAGGAACGUUGAAGACGACGACGUUGAUAGGCCGGGUGUGUAAGCGCAGCGAUGCGUUGAGCUAACCGGUACUAAUGAACCGUGAGGCUUAACCUU
rnacentral:rRNA from 1 species